rnacentral:siRNA from 1 species
GCGUCUGUUUUACCAUCUCUGC